rnacentral:rRNA from 1 species
UACGUAGGGUGCGAGCGUUGUCCGGAAUUAUUGGGCGUAAAGAGCUCGUAGGCGGACUGUCACGUCUGCUGUGAAAAGCUGGGGCUUAACCCUGGCCUUGCAGUCGAUACGGGCGGACUUGAGUACUGCAGGGGAGGACUGGAAUUCCUGGUGUAGCGGUGAAAUGCGCAGAUAUCAGGAGGAACACCGGUGGCGAAGGCGGGUCUCUGGGCAGUAACUGACGCUGGAGGAGCG